GGCAUCUUGCGAUGCGGCGUCGUUUGAGCGCGAAAGCGCGAGAAGUUGCAACCUGUCGAUGUUUAUCUAUUUGCAAGAUUGGUCUUGUUACGGGCCUCUCUUUUAUGCGACGCCCGCUCGGGU
rnacentral:ncRNA from 1 species